rnacentral:rRNA from 1 species
GGGGAAUAUUGCGCAAUGGGGGCAACCCUGACGCAGCCAUGCCGCGUGAAUGAAGAAGGCCUUCGGGUUGUAAAGUUCUUUCGGUAGCGAGGAAGGCAUUUAGUUUAAUAAACCAGGUGAUUGACGUUAACUACAGAAGAAGCACCGGCUAACUCCGUGCCAGCAGCCGCGGUAAUACGGAGGGUGCGAGCGUUAAUCGGAAUAACUGGGCGUAAAGGGCACGCAGGCGGUGACUUAAGUGAGGUGUGAAAGCCCCGGGCUUAACCUGGGAAUUGCAUUUCAUACUGGGUCGCUAGAGUACUUUAGGGAGGGGUAGAAUUCCACGUGUAGCGGUGAAAUGCGUAGAGAUGUGGAGGAAUACCGAAGGCGAAGGCAGCCCCUUGGGAAUGUACUGACGCUCAUGUGCGAAAGCGUGGGGAGCAAACAGGAUUAGAUACCCUGGUAGUCCACGCUGUAAACGAUGUCGAUUUGGGGGUUGAGCUUUGAGUUUGGCGCCCGUAGCUAACGUGAUAAAUCGACCGCCUGGGGAGUACGGCCGCAAGGUUA